rnacentral:rRNA from 1 species
UACGUAGGGACCAAGCGUUGUUCGGAUUUACUGGGCGUAAAGGGCGCGUAGGCGGCUUAACAAGUCACUUGUGAAAUCUCCGGGCUUAACUCGGAACGGCCAAGUGAAACUGUCAAGCUAGAGUGCAGAAGGGGCAAUCGGAAUUCUUGGUGUAGCGGUGAAAUGCGUAGAUAUCGAGAGGAACACCUGCGGCGAAGGCGGGUUGCUGGGCUGAUACUGACGCUGAGGCGCGAAAGCCAGGGGAGCGAACGGG